rnacentral:lncRNA from 1 species
GAAGUAGUGGACACCUGUGACCGCUUUUCCUGGGCACUUGGGCACUGAGACUUUUCCGAGUCCUCCAGGGACAGCAUGGACCCAGCCUCCAGCCUGCUGACCACUGGUGGACAGGUCUGGGACAACUGACAGCAGGGCCCUGUGGGUCCAGGUCAGCUGGCUGCAUGUUCAGGAGCAGGAUCCCUGGUAGCGGCUCUUCAUGUCUUUCAGUUCUUAACAAGAUAUAUGAUGGGCAAGUAUCUUCUCU